GGAGUCUGGUGCUGACUGGUGAAUUCAGAAGCAGGAAAGAGGGACAGAGUGGAUUUUACAACCAGAAUAAAGCUGGGAAAUGCCCCCGUGAAUGGAGCCAAAGAAAGGUUGGAGUUUGGGGUAUGGUGUGUAUUUGAAGAUUCAAACUCCACGUGGUCUUCAGGAGCUCAAACACUCUCACACAGAACAGAAAGGAAGUCUCCAAAACGAAUGUGAAAUUGACAAAUCACCGCACUGAUUUUGGCUCUGGGGGAGAAGCAUGGAGUUAGACAUGCAGAAGACACAAUAAUAAGAUGACAGACGAGCAAAGAAAAGCAGAAUAGAGGAUUCCUCGUCAGCUGGGAUGAGAAGGAAAGGACACAAGCUCAGAGCAGAAGGCUGGCAUGGCACCUAAGGCUUCGCCCAUGGCAUCUAAGGCAGAGGAAAAGCCUAGAGAUCCUAACUCUGUUGCCAGGCAACUCCCCAGGCCCUGGAAGAUGUUUGUCCUCACUGUUUCAUUUUCAGAUGGAAACAAGAUUUUCCAUUUAUAUUUCAGAAUAAAUUUAUUACGUUUUG
rnacentral:lncRNA from 1 species